rnacentral:rRNA from 1 species
CAGUAGCCGCGGGAAUACGGAGGGGGCUAGCGUUGUUCGGAAUUACUGGGCGUAAAGCGCACGUAGGCGGCUUGGUAAGUUAGAGGUGAAAGCCCAGAGCUCAACUCCGGAAUUGCCUUUAAGACUGCCGAGCUAGCAGGUGAGAGAGGUAAGUGGAAUUCCGAGUGUAGAGGUGAAAUUCGUAGAUAUUCGGAAGAACACCAGUGGCGAAGGCGGCUUACUGGCUCAUACUGGACGCUGAGGUGCGAAAGCGUGGGGAGCAAACAGGAUUAGAGACCCCCGUAGUCCCUGUCUCUUAUAC